rnacentral:sRNA from 1 species
AAGGUUUUGCUCUGUGGCCCAGGCUAGGGUGCAGUGGCACGAUCUCGGCUCACUGCAACCUCCACCUCCCAGGUUCAAGCAAUUCUUCUGCCUCAGCCUCCCAAAUAGCUGGGACUAUAGGCGCACACCACCUAGCCUGGCUAAUUUUUGUAUUUUUAGUAGAGACGGGGUUUUACCAUAUUGGCCAGGCUGGUCUUGAACUCCUGGCCUCAAGUGAUCUGCCCACCUUGGCCUCCCAAAGGGCUGAGAUUGCAGGCAUGAGCUACCGCCCCUGGCAAAUUUUUAAAUUGAGAUGAAGUCUUGCUAUAUUGACCAGGCUGGUCUUGAACUCCUGGGCUCAAGCAAUCCUCCCAUCUCAGCCUCCCAAAAUGCUGGGAUGACAGGGGUGAGCCCCUGCGCCCGACCAGGCUCCAAUCUCUUAUUGCUCCAAGUAGGUGCCCACUUGGUGCUGGGCCUUAGCUGAUCUCCAGGGAGGCAGCGUGAGCACCUGGCAUGGUCCCAGCCCCCGAGCCCAGCCUAACAUGCCGAGUUUUUGCACUGCAAGUCC